CUUGGUCAUUUAGAGGAAGUAAAAGUCGUAACAAGGUUUCCGUAGGUGAACCUGCGGAAGGAUCAUUACAAGUGAGGCUACCGAACGUUGGAAACAGCGGUUAGGAGCUUACACCCACCCGUGUUUACAUACUAUUGUUGCUUUGGCGGGCCGUGGCCUCCACUGCGGGCUCUGCUCGUGUGUGCCCGCCAGAGAACCAAACUCUGAAUGUUAGUGAUGUCUGAGUACUAUCUAAUAGUUAAAACUUUCAACAACGGAUCUCUUAGUUCUGGCAUCGAUGAAGAACGCAGCGAAAUGCGAUAAGUAAUGUGAAUUGCAGAAUUCAGUGAAUCAUCGAAUCUUUGAACGCACAUUGCGCCCUGUGGUAUUCCGCAGGGCAUGCCUGUUCGAGCGUCAUUUAACCACUCACGCCUAGCGUGGUAUUGGGGCACGCGGUCUCCGCGGCCCUCAAAAUCAGUGGCGGCGCCGGUGGGCUCUAAGCGUAGUACAUACUCCCGCUAUAGAGUUCCCCCCGGUGGCUCGCCAGAACCCCCAAUUUUUUACAGGUUGACCUCGGAUCAGGUAGGGAUACCCGCUGAACUUAAGCAUAUCAAUAAGCGGAGGA
rnacentral:rRNA from 1 species